AAAGCAUUUGCCAAGGACGUUUUCAUUAAUCAAGAACGAAAGUUGAGGGGAUCGAACGAUGAACGAGAUACCGUCGUAGUCUUAACCAUAAACUAUGCCGACUAGGGAUCGGGCGUUGUUCUUUUUAUGACUCGCUCGGCACCUACCGAGAAAUCAAAGUUUUUGGGUUCUGGGGGGAGUAUGGUCGCAAGGCUGAAACUUAAAGGAAUUGACGGAAGGGCACCACCAGGAGUGGAGCCUGCGGCUUAAUUUGACUCAACACGGGAAAUCUCACCAGGUCCAGACACAAUAAGGAUUGACAGAUUGAGAGCUCUUUCUUGAUUUUGUGGGUGGUGGUGCAUGGCCGUUCUUAGUUGGUGGAGUGAUUUGUCUGCUUAAUUGCGAUAACGAACGAGACCUUAACCUACUAAAUAGUGCUGUUAGCUUCGGCUGAACUGGCACUUCUUAGAGGGACUAUCGAUUUCAAGUCGAUGAAAGUUUGAGGCAAUAACAGGUCUGUGAUGCCCUUAGACGUUCUGGGCCGCACGCGCGCUACACUGACGGAGCCAGCAAGUACUAUCCUUGGCCGAAAGUCCCGNGUAAUCUCGUGAACCUCCGCCGUGCUGGGGAUAGAGCAUUGAAAUUAUUGC
rnacentral:rRNA from 1 species